AGUGGCCUAGCUCCCUGCGGCUGUCCUUGGUCGCCUUGUCACCAGGCUGAAGGUGGGUCUGGGGACCCCGGCGCCACCCGUGGUGGUGAUGCGGGCGGGAGGGUUCUGGGGAACGCUCGCAUGGAGGGGAAACAGGGUCGCCUUCGGUGACCCCUGCGCGCUGCCCGCCCCACGCCUUUUACAAAGACUGCUCUGGGGACGAUCUGAUGGCCUGGCUCUCGGGGGACUCGGAAGGGUUCUCAAGGAUCCGACUCUUGAGCCCACAAUAGGGAAUGCAGCUCCUAUCCAGAAGCGGGGCGCGGUCGCCCAGGCGUCUGUCUCCUCGUCCAACUCUCCUGAUUGUGAAACCCGCACGUAGCCAUUUGCCUUUUAAAAACAAGGCUUUCUGCUUGGUUUCCAGUCCGUGUUAUGAUCUCAACGGUUUCGGUUUUGCUCCAUCCAUUCCAUAUCUUAGGUGACACUUUGUAAUAAUUAUAAAGAACUGUGGGGUCCAGUCCAACACAAGGUAUUAUCUCUUAAAAAGUCUACAUGUGCCUGCAGUGGUGGUGGCGCAUGCCUUUAAUCCCAGCACUUGGAAAGCAGAGGCAGGUGGAUUUCUGAGUUCAAGGCCAGGCUGGUCUACAGAGUGAGUUCCAGGGCAGCCAGGGCUUUAAAGAGAACCCCUGUCUUGAAAAACAAAACAACAAAAAAAGUCUACAUGUUUCCAGCAUGAAUCCAGAUAGAAGACUCAGCAAAAUAAGACUCACAGCAGUGUCUGUUAUUCUUGAAAAGGGAAAGAAACUUUAAUCCCAGCACUUGGAAAGCAGAGGCAGGUGGUAUUUAAGGGAAAUACCUUGUGUUAGAGAAAAAUAUUAAGAAAUAUGUGGGAUGUGGGGUUAGUUGUUUUUUGUUUUUAAAAAGUCUCACACACACACACAUGGAGAGAGAGAGAGAGAGAGAGAGAGAGAGAGAGAGAGAGAGAGAGAGAGGCUCUGCAAAGAAGAAAAGAGAGGAGGAGUUAUUUAACUGUUUACCUCCGUACACAGGAGAGAGAGUAGAACAAAAGAGCUUAAGCCUGAUCAGGAUACAGAUUGUCUGGGGACUAUGCUAAUCCUGACUCUUUACCCUAUACUUAAAGCAAGUUACUUUGCCACAACUAAAUUUGGAUUUCUUCAUCUGAAAAAAAAAAAAAGCCCCAAUCUUGAGACAUGGUUACUUAAAUCUGCAGUCUGUGGUGAGGAGUAUAUGAAUUAGCUAUGACGCAGAAACGCCUCGUCCAUGUGGCCUACAUCUGUAACUCCAACUACUUUUGAGGAUGAGGCAGAGGGAUAGUAAGCCAGAGCUUCACAGUAAGACUGUCUCAAAAAACAAAUACAAAACAAACAAACAAAAGAUUCAGUUCUUGUUAAAAGCUUGC
rnacentral:lncRNA from 1 species